rnacentral:lncRNA from 9 species
AGAUCUCUCUAAGUAGAACUUGGAUGCUGGAGGCUCUGCUGGGCAGGUGGGGAUUGUGGGCAUUGAGGGCUUGGCCUGGGAGUCAGCUGUUGGUCAUUUCCCUGUGGUCUUCUGCAAUCAGUAUAUCACUCGUUCUCUCUGUUGUCAUGUAUUUUCCAGACUGUUGCUUUGGGAGCAAAGGAUCGUGCUUCAAAAGUCUGAGGACAAGUUUGUCCUCUGCGAGCUUGGCUAGAAUAAUUCCCCGGUGGCCACACAACAGGGUGCACCUUGCCACUGAGCCAGAUGAAGCAACGCACGCCGACGAUGUUGUGGAGGCCGGUGGGAGUGAGAAGACCGAGGCAAAGCCCCGGGCUGGGGGACAUGAGGACGAGGCGGCCCCAGUACCUGAGGUGGAGGAGGAGGAGGAGGCGGGCCAGCCCCUUGAAAAUGGCCAGGAGGAGUCCCCAGCCAUCGCCUGGGCUGAGCCGGAAGACGAGCCUGGCCCCAAGGUGGACGGGGCGGACGAUGAAAUCUCUUGGAGCUUGGAGAGUGUGUGUGAGAGCGACCUCGCUGACAGCAACCUCGCAGAAAGUGAUCGAGACUCGGUGGCGGAGCGCACCGACUGCCGCCAGGAUGAGGAGGCUGCAGGAACUCACGACGACGAUGUUGUGGAGGCCGGUGGGAGUGAGAAGACUGAGGCAAAGCCCCGGGCUGGGGGACAUGAGGACGAGGCGGCCCCAGUACCUGAGGUGGAGGUGGAGGAGGAGGCGGGCCAGCCCCGUGAAAAUGGCCAGGAGGAGUCCUUAGCCAUCGCCUGGGCUGAGCCGGAAGACGAGCCUGGCCCCAAGGUGGACGGGGCGGACGAUGAAAUCUCUUGGAGCUUGGAGAGUGUGUGUGAGAGCGACCUCGCUGACAGCAACCUCGCAGAAAGUGAUCGAGACUCGGUGGCGGAGCGCACCGACUGCCGCCAGGAUGAGGAGGCUGCAGGAACUCACGACGACGAUGUUGUGGAGGCCGGUGGGAGUGAGAAGACUGAGGCAAAGCCCCGGGCUGGGGGACAUGAGGACGAGGCGGCCCCAGUACCUGAGGUGGAGGUGGAGGAGGAGGCGGGCCAGCCCCGUGAAAAUGGCCAGGAGGAGUCCUUAGCCAUCGCCUGGGCUGAGCCGGAAGACGAGCCUGGCCCCAAGGUGGACGGGGCGGACGAUGAAAUCUCUUGGAGCUUGGAGAGUGUGUGUGAGAGCGACCUCGCUGACAGCAACCUCGCAGAAAGUGAUCGAGACUCGGUGGCGGAGCGCACCGACUGCCGCCAGGAUGAGGAGGCUGCAGGAACUCACGACGACGAUGUUGUGGAGGCCGGUGGGAGUGAGAAGACUGAGGCAAAGCCCCGGGCUGGGGGACAUGAGGACGAGGCGGCCCCAGUACCUGAGGUGGAGGUGGAGGAGGAGGCGGGCCAGCCCCGUGAAAAUGGCCAGGAGGAGUCCUUAGCCAUCGCCUGGGCUGAGCCGGAAGACGAGCCUGGCCCCAAGGUGGACGGGGCGGACGAUGAAAUCUCUUGGAGCUUGGAGAGUGUGUGUGAGAGCGACCUCGCUGACAGCAACCUCGCAGAAAGUGAUCGAGGUAAGAACAGCUCUCAGGUAGGAGCCAGUGGGAGAGGGUUCCCGGGACACUUGGAACUUAGGCCUGCUGCUUGGAGGGUGGGGCGGGUGAGUGUGCAAUUGCAAAAGAGAAAGAAAUUGGUGUAAAGAUGUUCGUCGCCUAUGUUCCUAAGGAGGGGAGCAGGUAUGAGAUGCCCGAAUGUUGGCAUCUGUGCUCACGUUGUGUUGGCGGGCCUCAGUCCCUGGAGCAGAGGGAAGGCCUGGGCACCUGGAGGAAAAACCCGGGUGAUGCUGUGUGACCCGCCGUCACCUCGGGGAAGCCGGGGAAACGGGAGGGCCACUCCUUCUCACGCCUCGCUUCCCGCGGUGUGUUUCUACAGACUCGGUGGCGGAGCGCACCGACUGCCGCCAGGAUGAGGAGGCUGCAGUAGGGAAGAGCACGCAGCUGGGAUCCAGGGGAGAGGGUUCCUGGGAGCAGCUGGGUUCCACCUGCUGCCGGGAGAGGGCGGAAGGGGGCUAGGACUUGGGUGGGUGGCCUACUGAGCGGAACUCCGCUGUGGUGUUUUCCCCUCUGAAGUUGCUAAGCCGAAGACGACUUGGGUCCCUGGUCUUUGUUGUGCUGUGUUUGGAUUCGUGUCUCCUUCCUUUGAGAGGGAGAAUGGCUUUUCCCUCCCGAAGCGGCUCCUUCCCAGCUCUUGUCUCUGGCCAUGGUGCCAGCUUGCUUUGUGGGUCGCACCCUGAGGGUCCUGUGCACAAGAGCUGUUGACUUAGUUUCCUUUGUUGCCCUUGAGGGCCUGGUGUGGUGGGACGCAACCCUCUCCUAGGCCCUUGACCCUGGAGACCAAGUUUGCCUGGUGAGUGUCAGGUGGCGGGUGAGAAGGCAGGUCUCUCCCUCUGCACGUUUGGGAUUUCUGGCCUCCCUGUCCUGGU